CUUGGUCAUUUAGAGGAAGUAAAAGUCGUAACAAGGUCUCCGUUGGUGAACCAGCGGAGGGAUCAUUACCGAGUUUACAACUCCCAAACCCCUGUGAACAUACCACUUGUUGCCUCGGCGGAUCAGCCCGCUCCCGGUAAAACGGGACGGCCCGCCAGAGGACCCCUAAAACUCUGUUUCUAUAUGUAACUUCUGAGUAAAACCAUAAAUAAAUCAAAACUUUCAACAACGGAUCUCUUGGCUCUGGCAUCGAUGAAGAACGCAGCAAAAUGCGAUAAGUAAUGUGAAUUGCAGAAUUCAGUGAAUCAUCGAAUCUUUGAACGCACAUUGCGCCCGCCAGUAUUCUGGCGGGCAUGCCUGUUCGAGCGUCAUUUCAACCCUCAAGCACAGCUUGGUGUUGGGACUCGCGUUAAUUCGCGUUCCUCAAAUUGAUUGGCGGUCACGUCGAGCUUCCAUAGCGUAGUAGUAAAACCCUCGUUACUGGUAAUCGUCGCGGCCACGCCGUUAAACCCCAACUUCUGAAUGUUGACCUCGGAUCAGGUAGGAAUACCCGCUGAACUUAAGCAUAUCAAUAAGCGGAGGA
rnacentral:rRNA from 1 species